UGGGGAAUAUUAGGCAAUGGGCGAAAGCCUGACCCAGCGACGCCGUGUGGGCGAUGAAGGCCUUCGGGUUGUAAAGCCCUGUGAGGCGGAAAGAAGGGCCCAGAGGUUAAUACCCUUUGGGCUUUGACGGUACCACCAGAGGAAGCACCGGCUAACUCCGUGCCAGCAGCCGCGGUAAUACGGAGGGUGCAAGCGUUGUUCGGAAUUACUGGGCGUAAAGGGCGCGUAGGUGGUUGUGUAAGUCAGAUGUGAAAUCCCGAGGCUCAACUUCGGAACUGCAUCUGAAACUGCAUGACUAGAGUACAGCAGAGGGAAACGGAAUUCCUGGUGUAGAUGUGAAAUUCGUAGAUAUCAGGAGGAACACCGGUGGCGAAGGCGGUUUCCUGGGCUGAUGCUGACACUGAGGCGCGAGAGCGUGGGGAGCAAGCA
rnacentral:rRNA from 1 species